UACGAAGGGGGCUAGCGUUGCUCGGAAUCACUGGGCGUAAAGCGCACGUAGGCGGCUUUCUAAGUCAGGGGUGAAAUCCUGGAGCUCAACUCCAGAACUGCCUUUGAUACUGAGAGUCUUCGAGUCCGGGAGAGGUGAGUGGAACUGCGAGUGUAGAGGUGAAAUUCGUAGAUAUUCGCAAGAACACCAGUGGCGAAGGCGGCUCACUGGCCCGGUACUGACGCUGAGGUGCGAAAGCGUGGGAGCAACAGG
rnacentral:rRNA from 1 species